rnacentral:rRNA from 1 species
UACGUAGGGGGCAAGCGUUGUCCGGAUUUAUUGGGCGUAAAGAGCGUGUAGGCGGCCAUACAGGUCCGUUGUGAAAACUGGAGGCUUAACCUCCAGACGUCGAUGGAAACCGCGUGGCUAGAGUCUGGAAGAGGAGAGUGGAAUUCCUGGUGUAGCGGUGAAAUGCGCAGAUAUCAGGAAGAACACCAAUGGCGAAGGCAGCUCUCUGGGACGGUACUGACGCUGAGACGCGAAAGCGUGGGGAGCGAACAGG